AGACUGAUCGAAAUAAAAGGCAUCUUUUAUUUAAAAGACCUUUUUCGGAAGGUAUGCUUAAAGAGGGGCUUGCGUCACAUUAGUUAGUUGGCAGGGUAAAGGCCUACCAAGACUAUGAUGUGUAGCUGGACUGAGAGGUUGAACAGCCACAUUGGGACUGAGACACGGCCCAAACUCCUACGGGAGGCAGCAGUAGGGAAUUUUCGGCAAUGGAGGAAACUCUGACCGAGCAACGCCGCGUGAACGAUGAAGUAUUUCGGUAUGUAAAGUUCUUUUAUUGAAGAAGAAAAAAUAGUGGAAAAACUAUCUUGACGAUAUUCAAUGAAUAAGCCCCGGCAAACUAUGUGCCAGCAGCCGCGGUAAUACAUAGGGGGCGAGCGUUAUCCGGAAUUAUUGGGCGUAAAGGGUGCGUAGGCGGUUUAAUAAGUCUAUAGUUUAAUUUCAGUGCUUAACACUGUCCUGCUAUAGAAACUAUUAGACUAGAGUGAGAUAGAGGCAAGUGGAAUUCCAUGUGUAGCGGUAAAAUGCGUAAAUAUAUGGAGGAACACCAGAGGCGUAGGCGGCUUGCUGGGUCUUUACUGACGCUGAGGCACGAAAGCGUGGGGAGCAAACAGGAUUAGAUACCCUGGUAGUCCACGCCGUAAACGAUGAGUACUAAGUGUCGGGAUUACUCGGUACUGAAGUUAACACAUUAAGUACUCCGCCUGAGUAGUACGUACGCAAGUAUGAAACUUAAAGGAAUUGACGGGACUCCGCACAAGCGGUGGAUCAUGUUGUUUAAUUGAAGAUACACGAAAAACCUUACCAGGUCUUGACAUACCUCUGCAAAGCUAUAGCAAUAUAGUGGAGGUUAUCAGAGAUACAGGUGGUGCAUGGUUGUCGUCAGCUCGUGUCGUGAGAUGUUAGGUUAAGUCCUAAAACGAGCGCAACCCUUGUCAUUAGUUGCCAGCAUGUCAUGAUGGGCACUUUAAUGAGACUGCCAAUGAAAAAUUGGAGGAAGGUGAGGAUCACGUCAAAUCAUCAUGCCCCUUAUGAUCUGGGCUACAAACGUGAUACAAUGGCUGUUACAAAGAGUAGCUGAAACGCAAGUUUAUAGCCAAUCUCAUAAAAGCAGUCUCAGUUCGGAUUGAAGUCUGCAACUCGACUUCAUGAAGUUGGAAUCGCUAGUAAUCGCGAAUCAGCAUGUCGCGAAUUCAUUUU
rnacentral:rRNA from 1 species